UACGUAGGGGCCUAGCGUUGUCCGGAUUUAUUGGGCGUAAAGAGCUCGUAGGCGGUUCGGUAAGUCAGGUGUGAAAUCUCCACGCUCAACGUGGAGGCGCCACCUGAAACUGCCGUGACUCGAGUCCGGUAGGGGAGUGUGGAAUUCCUGGUGUAGCGGUGAAAUGCACAGAUAUCAGGAGGAACAUCAGUGGCGAAAGCGACUUCCUGGACCAAUACUGACGCUCAGGUGCGAAAGCGUGGGGAGCAAACAGG
rnacentral:rRNA from 1 species